UACGGAGGGUGCGAGCGUUGUCCGGAAUCACUGGGCGUAAAGGGCGCGUAGGCGGCGCGGGUAGUCAUCGGUGAAAGUUCAGGGCUCAACUCUGAAUCGGCCGGUGAUACUCCCGUGCUCGAGCACUGUAGAGGCAGGUGGAAUUCCGGGUGUAGCGGUGGAAUGCGUAGAUAUCGAGAGGAACACCUGCGGCGAAGGCGGGUUGCUGGGCUGAUACUGACGCUGAUGCGCGAAAGCCAGGGGAGCGAACGGG
rnacentral:rRNA from 1 species